rnacentral:rRNA from 1 species
GGGGCCCGCACAAGCGGUGGAGCAUGUGGUUUAAUUCGAUGCAACGCGAAGAACCUUACCUGGUCUUGACAUCCACGGAAGUUUUCAGAGAUGAGAAUGUGCCUUCGGGAACCGUGAGACAGGUGCUGCAUGGCUGUCGUCAGCUCGUGUUGUGAAAUGUUGGGUUAAGUCCCGCAACGAGCGCAACCCUUAUCCUUUGUUGCCAGCGGUCCGGCCGGGAACUCAAAGGAGACUGCCAGUGAUAAACUGGAGGAAGGUGGGGAUGACGUCAAGUCAUCAUGGCCCUUACGACCAGGGCUACACACGUGCUACAAUGGCGCAUACAAAGAGAAGCGACCUCGCGAGAGCAAGCGGACCUCAUAAAGUGCGUCGUAGUCCGGAUUGGAGUCUGCAACUCGACUCCAUG